GACGAACGCUGGCGGCGUGCCUAACACAUGCAAGUCGAACGAGUGGCGGACGGGUGAGUAAUGUCUGGGAAACUGCCCGAUGGAGGGGGAUAACUACUGGAAACGGUAGCUAAUACCGCAUACCCUCGGAUGUGCCCAGAUUGGAUUAGCUAGUAGGUGGGGUAACGGCUCACCUAGGCGACGAUCCCUAGCUGGUCUGAGAGGGUGAUCGGCCACACGGGAACUGAGAAACGGUCCAGACUCCUACGGGAGGCAGCAGUGGGGAAUAUGGCACAAUGGGGGAAAGCCUGAGGCAGCCAGGCGGGGGGUAUGAAGAAGGCCUUAGGGUUGUAAAGUACUUUCAGCGAGGAGGCGUUACUCGAAGAAGAAGCACCGGCUAACUCCGUGCCAGCAGCCGCGGUAAUAC
rnacentral:rRNA from 1 species